rnacentral:rRNA from 1 species
UACGAAGGGUGCAAGCGUUAAUCGGAAUUACUGGGCGUAAAGCGUGCGUAGGCGGUUUCUUAAGUCUGCUGUGAAAGCCCCGGGCUCAACCUGGGAAUGGCGGUGGAUACUGAGGAGCUGGAGUACGGUAGAGGAAGGUGGAAUUCCCGGUGUAGCGGUGAAAUGCGUAGAGAUCGGGAGGAACAUCAGUGGCGAAGGCGGCCUGCUGGGCAGUAUGGCUGACACUGAGGCGCGACAGCGUGGGGAGCAAACAGG